rnacentral:rRNA from 1 species
UGUCGGGGAACCAGGACUUUUACUUUGAGAAAAUUAGAGUGUUCAAAGCAGGCCUUUGCUCGAAUACGUUAGCAUGGAAUAAUAGAAUAGGACGUGCGGUCCUAUUUUGUUGGUUUCUAGGACCGCCGUAAUGAUUAAUAGGGAUAGUCGGGGGCAUCAGUAUUCAAUUGUCAGAGGUGAAAUUCUUGGAUUUAUUGAAGACUAACUACUGCGAAAGCAUUUGCCAAGGAUGUUUUCAUUAAUCAGUGAACGAAAGUUAGGGGAUCGAAGACGAUCAGAUACCGUCGUAGUCUUAACCGUAAACUAUGCCGACUAGGGAUCGGGCGAUGUUAUUAUUUUGACUCGCUCGGCACCUUACGAGAAAUCAAAG